UGGGGAAUCUUGGACAAUGGGCGCAAGCCUGAUCCAGCCAUGCCGCGUGAGUGACGAAGGCCUUAGGGUUGUAAAGCUCUUUUGCCGGGGACGAUAAUGACGGUACCCGGAGAAUAAGUCCCGGCUAACUUCGUGCCAGCAGCCGCGGUAAUACGAAGGGGACUAGCGUUGUUCGGAAUUACUGGGCGUAAAGCGCACGUAGGCGGAAUUGUCAGUCAGAGGUGAAAUCCCGGGGCUCAACCUCGGAACUGCCUUUGAUACAGCAAUUCUCGAGUCCGAUAGAGGUGAGUGGAAUUCCUAGUGUAGCGGUGAAAUGCGUAGAUAUCAAGAGGAACACCUGAGGUGAAGACGGGUUGCUGGGCUGACACUGACGCUGAGGCGCGAAAGCCAGGGGAGCAAACGGGAUUAGAUACCCCAGUAGUCCCUGAGCGGGCUGGCAAGGCGCAU
rnacentral:rRNA from 1 species